CUUUUCGCGUGCGGGCGUGCGGGGUGCGGCGCGUCCCUUCCAUCUCUCCCUCUCCGCGCCGCCUCCGUGGGAGUCAGGGACCCAGGAGGGCGCGCUCGCGGCUCGCCGGAUCUCGUUCGCUCUCCUGCCGACCCGCCUCGCCCUCCCUUCACCACCGGCGACGCGCUUGGUCUCCGUGUCCUUCUACUGCGCCGCGAAACUCCACGGCUCCGCGAGAUGCAGAAUCGCACCAUCGCUGGCCUCAUCUGCAGCGCACACGCUCGUCGUGUUAAUUUUUGCAACAAUUUGCAAGAAUUUUACUGCUUGGAACACAUGAACAAUGUUGCAGGGAUUUUGCACAAAACAUUUUAUCCUGAUGUAACUGAAAAAAAUAUUCACGUGCUUCCAAUGAGCACAAUGUUUUACUUUAUUGGUAAGAACCUUCCAAACAUGGAAUUACGGAUGUACACAAUGACGUUGCGCAUCAUUCAUGUUUGCACGAGAACUGCUCAUAACACGUUACAUCAUACACUGUUGAACGCAGCAGAAGUAUUUAAAACACGCUAAUUUAUACUUUCUCGUCCGCUGCUCCAUUCCUUUUGAGUAGGCAAAUCAUGUUUUGACCAACAAU